CAGCCGCGGUAAUACGGAGGAUGCGAGCGUUAUCCCGAUUUAAUGGGUUUAAAGGGUGCGCAGGCGGACUGUUAAGUCAGCGGUAAAAUGUCGGUGCUCAACACCGGCCGGCCGUCGAAACUGGCAGCCUUGAGUGAGCGAGAAGUAUGCGGAAUGCGUGGUGUAGCGGUGAAAUGCAUAGAUAUCACGCAGAACUCCGAUUGCGAAGGCAGCAUACCGGCGCUCAACUGACGCUCAGGCACGAAAGCGUGGGUAUCGAACAGGCUUAGAUACCCUGGUAGUCCACGCAGUAAACGAUGAAUGCUCACUGUCCGGGCCGUUUAAGGCCUGGGUGGUCAAGCGAAAGCGUUAAGCAUUCCACCUGGGGAGUACGCCGGCAACGGUGAAACUCAAAGGAAUUGACGGGGGCCCGCACAAGCGGAGGAACAUGUGGUUUAAUUCGAUGAUACGCGAGGAACCUUACCCGGGCUCAAACGGAAGGGGACAGUAUGAGAAAUCAUACAUUCCUUCGGGACCACUUCCGAGGUGCUGCAUGGUUGUCGUCAGCUCGUGCCGUGAGGUGUCGGCUUAAGUGCCAUAACGAGCGCAACCCCUAUCGACAGUUGCUAGCAGGUAAAGCUGAGGACUCUGUCGAGACUGCCGGCGCAAGCUGUGAGGAAGGCGGGGAUGACGUCAAAUCAGCACGGCCCUUACGUCCGGGGCGACACACGUGUUACAAUGGCAGGUACAGCGGGAGGCCACCCGGCGACGGGGCGCAGAACCCGAAAACCUGUCUCAGUUCGGAUUGGAGUCUGCAACCCGACUCCAUGAAGCUGGAUUCGCUAGUAAUCGCG
rnacentral:rRNA from 1 species